rnacentral:rRNA from 1 species
UACGUAGGGUGCGAGCGUUAAUCGGAAUUAUUGGGCGUAAAGCGCACGUAGGCGGUUUGUUAAGUCGGAUGUGAAAUCCCUCGGCUCAACUGAGGAAGUGCACCCGAAACUGGCAAGCUUGAGUACUAAAGAGGGUCGCGGAAUUCCCGGUGUAGAGGUGAAAUUCGUAGAUAUCGGGAGGAACACCAGUGGCGAAGGCGGCGACCUGGACGGACACUGACGCUGAGACGCGAAAGCGUGGGGAGCAAACAGGGAGUUAAGAA